rnacentral:rRNA from 1 species
GAUGAACGCUAGCUACAGGCUUAACACAUGCAAGUCGAGGGGAAACGACAUCGAAAGCUUGCUUUUGAUGGGCGUCGACCGGCGCACGGGUGAGUAACGCGUAUCCAACCUGCCCAUCACUUGGGAAUAACCUUGCGAAAGUAAGACUAAUACCCAAUGACAUCCCACGAAGACAUCUGAAUGGGAUUAAAGAUUUAUCGGUGAUGGAUGGGGAUGCGUCUGAUUAGCUUGUUGGCGGGGUAACGGCCACCAAGGCAACGAUCAGUAGGGGUUCUGAGAGGAAGGUCCCCCACAUUGGAACUGAGACACGGUCCAAACUCCUACGGGAGGCAGCAGUGAGGAAUAUUGGUCAAUGGGCGAGAGCCUGAACCAGCCAAGUAGCGUGCAGGAUGACGGCCCUAUGGGUUGUAAACUGCUUUUAUAAGGGAAUAAAGUGGGUCUCGUGAGACUUUUUGCAUGUACCUUAUGAAUAAGAACCGGCUAAUUCCGUG